UAAGGAAUAUUGGACAAUGGGCGAAAGCCUGAUCCAGCCACGCCGCGUGCAGGAUGAAGGUCCUCUGGAUUGUAAACUGCUUUUAUCUAGGAAGAAUGGCCCUGAUUCAUCAGGGNAGAGACGGUACUAGAUGAAUAAGCACCGGCUAACUCCGUGCCAGCAGCCNCGGUAAUACGGAGNGUGCAAGCGUUAUCCGGAUUUACUGGGUUUAAAGGGUCCGCAGGCGGUU
rnacentral:rRNA from 1 species